rnacentral:rRNA from 1 species
AUGAACGCUGGCGGCGUGCCUAAUACAUGCAAGUCGAGCGAACAGACGAGGAGCUUGCUCCUCUGACGUUAGCGGCGGACGGGUGAGUAACACGUGGAUAACCUACCUAUAAGACUGGGAUAACUUCAGGAAACCGGAGCUAAUACCGGAUAAUAUAUUGAACCGCAUGGUUCAAUAGUGAAAGACGGUUUUGCUGUCACUUAUAGAUGGAUCCGCGCCGCAUUAGCUAGUUGGUAAGGUAACGGCUUACCAAGGCAACGAUGCGUAGCCGACCUGAGAGGGUGAUCGGCCACACUGGAACUGAGACACGGUCCAGACUCCUACGGGAGGCAGCAGUAGGGAAUCUUCCGCAAUGGGCGAAAGCUUGACGGAGCAACGCCGCGUGAGUGAUGAAGGUCUUCGGACCGUAAAACUCUGUUAUUAGGGAAGAACAAAUGUGUAAGUAACUAUGCACGUCUUGACGGUACCUAAUCAGAAAGCCACGGCUAACUACGUG